ACUCCCUUAGUAUUAAUUAGUACAGCUGACUUCCAAUCAACUAGAUUUGGUAUAAACCCAAAAGAGAGUA
rnacentral:tRNA from 1 species